CCUUCGAUAGCUCAGUUGGUAGAGCGGUGGACUGUAGAGGUAGCUUCAUUAAGGUAGAUAUCCAUAGGUCGCUGGUUCAAAUCCGGCUCGAAGGA
rnacentral:tRNA from 1 species